rnacentral:rRNA from 1 species
UAUCUGUAGGUGAACCUGCAGAUGGAUCAUUA